GUAAAACAACAGAAACCCAUUACCAUCUUUACUUUUGGUUCCGCUGCCUCAGCCAAGCCAUCCAGGUGAGGGUUAAUAAACAGAGAAAACCUGGAGAGGUUCCAAAUAAAGUGAGAACUAUAAAGACGAAGGCCAACGCUGCAAACAUCUCAGCCAGAAAGAACACUCUUAGCACCCUACAAGCAGGUAUGUGCUUACCAGCAAACUAAAGCAAAUGGAAAUUAAGAAGCAUGAUCACCACCAGCAAGGUGCUGCUGAACUAUAAGCCUUCAGAUGGUCAGAUAAAGUACCUGAUGCUGAAAAACAGGAAAUUGAAUCAUGUCUCCAAAAUGUGCCUUUUGUCAUGCACUGUUACAGCUAUAUUUCUUGUAACUACAUUCAGCCUCCAGCCAAGAUAAAGAAUUAUGUGAUACAUACUUCAUCUUCCAUCACUGCUUUCAAAAGAUGUGAAUUCUGCAAACCAGACAGAAGAGGGAGCUAUCCAUCUGGAAAUUAACCAAUCCUUUCAAAAACAUGUCAAAUA
rnacentral:lncRNA from 1 species